rnacentral:rRNA from 1 species
GUGUCAGCCGCCGCGGUAAGACGGAGGGGGCUAGCGUUGUUCGGAAUUACUGGGCGUAAAGGGUGCGUAGGCGGCCAAUUAAGUUAGACGUGAAAGCCCAGAGCUUAACUUUGGAAUUGCGCCUAAUACUGGUUGGCUAGAGUUCGGUAGAGGAAAGUAGAAUUCCUAGUGUAGAGGUGAAAUUCGUAGAUAUUAGGAAGAAUACCAGAGGCGAAGGCGGCUUUCUGGACCGAUACUGACGCUGAGGCACGAAAGCGUGGGGAGCAAACAGGAUUAGAUACCCUGGUAGUCCACGCUGUAAACGAUGAGAGUUAGACGUCAGGAGCAUUGCUUUUGGUGUCGCAGCUAACGCGUUAAACUCUCCGCCUGGGGAGUACGGUCGCAAGAUUAAA